CCUGCUUUCACACCUCAGUUAAUGAAUAUGCCCCUGACCUUAUCCUAAUAGGUGAAUCGAUGACACAGGCAAGCAGAGUCGCCCGUCCUGCCGUCGCCGCUCAUUCUUCUUGCCGCCAUCACCGCCGCACGUACUCGUGCUUGUCGUCGCCGGCACGCCCGCCCGCCUUCUCCCGCUCACCUUGCAGCUCUCCUGCAUCGCCAUGUCGCAGGCAUCAUCCUCAGGCUUGCGCACGUGAGGGGUCACUAAAGGUAGGGUUAGGCUGCACCCGCAGCUUGCACCUGCACCGCAGCCACUUGCUGUUGUUCCCGCGCCCGUGAUCGACGAGGUGACCGGGAUACCGUUGAUCAUUUGCCCCUACUGUAAGAACGUGAGGUUGAUUGUGCUAACCACAGGAACUCUCGCAAAAACCUUGGCAGGCGUUUUUUCAAAUGCCCAAGGAAUUAUCAAAAUAUAAGUGGAUUUCUCCUUUGGUGGAUUUGGUGGCCAAUUAAUCAAAUUGAUGGGUAGAAUUGCAUGGUUGUGUCUUCUGCAGGAUCCUACAUCAUGCUCUAUAUGUAAGUUCGAGGACGAGUACGAGGCGUAUCUACGCGAAGAAGGAAAUUUAGGUUCAACCUCUUUGCUGGAUGCCGUACCAGAGCUGCCGCAAGAAUUUGACGAGAUGAAGGAGCGUGUAGCAAUCAGAGAAUCUAGAAUUAAUUGGUGUUGUAUUGUUCUAGGAUCUUGAACUUAUUUGUUCUGUUGUUGGGCAUCCUUGUGUAUGCACUGAAAUGAGCUUGUAUUUGUAUGCACUGAAAUGAAAUGAGCUUCUUUCUACCAGAA
rnacentral:lncRNA from 1 species